UAGGGAAUCUUCGGCAAUGGACGAAAGUCUGACCGAGCAACGCCGCGUGAGUGAAGAAGGGUUUCGGAUCGUAAAACUCUGUUGUUAGAGAAGAACAAGGACGUUAGUAACUGAACGUCCCCUGACGGUAUCUAACCAGAAAGCCACGGCUAACUACGUGCCAGCAGCCGCGGUAAUACGUAGGUGGCAAGCGUUGUCCGGAUUUAUUGGGCGUAAAGCGAGCGCAGGCGGUUUCUUAAGUCUGAUGUGAAAGCCCCCGGCUCAACCGGGGAGGGUAAUUGGAAACUGGGAGACUUGGGUGCAGAAGAGGAGAGUGGAAUUCCAUGUGUAGCGGUGAAAUGCGUAGAUAUAUGGAGGAAAACCAGUGGGGAAGGCGGCUCUCUGGUCUGUAACUGACGCUGAGGCUCGAAAGCGUGGGGAGCAAACAGG
rnacentral:rRNA from 1 species